rnacentral:rRNA from 1 species
CCUACGGGAGACAGCAGUGGGGGAUAUUGCACAAUGGGGGGAACCCUGAUGCAGCGACGCCGCGUGGGUGAAGAAGCGCCUCGGCGCGUAAAGCCCUGUCAGCAGGGAAGAAAAUGACGGUACCUGAAGAAGAAGCCCCGGCUAACUACGUGCCAGCAGCCGCGGUCAUACGUAGGGGGCAAGCGUUAUCCGGAUUUACUGGGUGUAAAGGGGGCGCAGACGGCGAUGCAAGCCAGGAGUGAAAGCCCGGGGCCCAACCCCGGGACUGCUCUUGGAACUGCGUGGCUGGAGUGCAGGAGGGGCAGGCGGAAUUCCUGGUGUAGCGGUGAAAUGCGUAGAUAUCAGGAGGAACACCGGUGGCGAAGGCGGCCUGCUGGACUGCAACUGACGUUGAGGCCCGAAAGCGUGGGGAGCAAACAGGAUUAGAUACCCCUGUAGUC